GAGUAACACGUGGGCAACCUGCCCUCAGCUCUGGGAUAACUCCGGGAAACCGGGGCUAAUACUGGAUAUUCACUGCUCAUCGCAUGGUGGGUGGUGGAAAGUUUUUCGGCUGGGGAUGGGCCCGCGGCCUAUCAGCUUGUUGGUGGGGUGAUGGCCUACCAAGGCGACGACGGGUAGCCGGCCUGAGAGGGCGACCGGCCACACUGGGACUGAGACACGG
rnacentral:rRNA from 1 species